CCUACGGGUGGCAGCAGUGAGGAAUAUUGGUCAAUGGGCGAGAGCCUGAACCAGCCAAGUCGCGUGAGGGAGUACUGCCCUAUGGGUUGUAAACCUCUUUUGUCGGGGAGCAAAAGCCGGACGUGUCCGGCUGUGAGAGUACCCGAAGAAAAAGCAUCGGCUAACUCCGUGCCAGCAGCCGCGGUAAUACGGGGGAUGCGGGCGUUAUCCGGAUUUAUUGGGUUUAAAGGGGGCGCAGGCGGAUUUUUAAGUCAGCGGUAAAAUCGUGGGGCUCAACCCCAUCCAGCCGUUGAAACUGGGGAUCUAGAGUGUGCGAGAGGUAUGCGGAAUGCGUGGUGUAGCGGUGAAAUGCAUAGAUAUCACGCAGAACCCCGAUUGCGAAGGCAGCAUACCGGUGCACAACUGACGCUCAGGCACGAAAGCGUGGGUAUCGAACAGGAUUAGAUACCCCUGUAGUC
rnacentral:rRNA from 1 species